UAUUUUUUUUAUGGAUACCUUUUGAAGAAAAAUAACAGUUCAUGUAGCACACAUCCGUGAGUUUAAUAAAUAAUCUUAUUUUUACACACCGCUGUUAUUUUCAUUCUAGUACUUAUUACACACAGCUUCACGAUAUCAAACACCUGUUAACACACGCUCAUUAAAAAACUCAUGAUUUUACAUAAUCAAACUAUAAACUAUUCUUUUAAGUCAUCGAAAUUAUUUAACUGAUGACAUAAAACUUGUAGCAAUGUAACAAAUUGUAACUCGUAACAGAUAGUUCUGUUGAUAUGAUAGAUUGCUAAAUUGAAAUUGAAAUUUAAAUGUCAUGAUAAAAAUUAUUUUUCACAUGGCAUUUUGUCCAACAGCGGAAAAAAAGCACAAAAGUUUACUUGAUUUGAACGAAUCGGUCUUUAUUGACUGAUAAGAUCGGUCUCAUUCGUGAAAGUUCGUCCCAUCUCGUUCAUCCCUUUGGCCGCCGCCGCCAGAUGAACCGCGUACCACAAAGAUCAGUACACUGUGCGGACUAACGCCCUAUGCACUAAAUAUACACUUUCGGAUGCGAGUCCGACAACUUAAAGAGUAAUAACAUGACGAACAACAAAAAAUAUAUAAGCCUUCUAAAAGGUUCGCGGUCUAUUGCCGUAUCAAUCUUAAUUUUGUAACUUUCUUCUGUUGUAAUUACUAACAAGGAUACAUAACACUCCACUAUUACAAUAAAAUAAAAAACUGGAUAUCACUUUACUUAAGGACAUUAUAAAAUUUAUCAUGUAAACACCUAAAGACCUUCAUGGAGAACAAAGUUAAUCGAUACGCUCUCUUCUCUUGCAAUGGACCAUUAUUUCCCUUUAUACCACCCAGGCCGUCCUCUCAGUCAUCGCAUCGCCGUUUUAAAAACCGAUUUGCUUAUUUUAAUUUUUAAAUGUUAUAUAGCGUUAAAAGUGCAAUUGAUACACGCCACACGUUCCUCCUGUCUUGUCACUCGAGUACUAAAAGCAUAGCAAGGCUUCUCUUGACUCUUUGAGAGGGAAUUUUCAUUUUGUU